rnacentral:rRNA from 1 species
AGAACGAACGCUGGCGGCAUGCCUAACACAUGCAAGUCGAACGAGACCUUCGGGUCUAGUGGCGCACGGGUGCGUAACGCGUGGGAAUCUGCCCUUGGGUUCGGGAUAACAGUUGGAAACGACUGCUAAUACCGGAUGAUGUCUUCGGACCAAAGAUUUAUCGCCCAAGGAUGAGCCCGCGUAGGAUUAGCUUGUUGGUGAGGUAAGAGCUCACCAAGGCGACGAUCCUUAGCUGGUCUGAGAGGAUGAUCAGCCACACUGGGACUGAGACACGGCCCAGACUCCUACGGGAGGCAGCAGUGGGGAAUAUGGACAAUGGGCGAAAGCCUGAUCCAGCAAUGCCGCGUGAGUGAUGAAGGCCUUAGGUGUAAAGCUCUUUUACCCGGGAUGAUAAUGACAGUACCGGAGAAUAAGCCCGGCUAACUCCGUGCCAGCAGCCGAC